AGCGUCAGCUUCUUGCUGCCAUGAGCAGCUAUGUCAAAAUCUCACUUCAAUCUGUGCGAAGCUCGAAAGCACAUUUGGAGAACGGAAAAUGUGGAACAAUAUUCAAGUUUUAAGGUUUUUUAUUUGGAGCAUAAGUUCCUCGAAAUUGCAAUGUCAGGACGUUGAAAAAAUGCGCAGAAAUGAGCCUGUGAAAGUACAAUAUUCAUAUUCCGGCCCCUGUUGCAGCUCAGUCAAAGCAAGCCGAGAAGCACAAUCUAGCUGAACCACAGUUUGUUGCUCAUCAAGAAAUUUGGUUCGUCCUGUUGCAUUAGACGGAUCGGAGACCCGGCUUUAACAAUAUAAACUAUGUGAGCCAAAUCUUAUCAAGAUCGGAGUAUUAUAAUAUAAAAAACAAAUCGAAUGGAAGAUGGGCUAUCGUCAAGCGAGAUAUUGUCAUUUGUCCUGAUAAGGAAGCAUCUGCGAGUUUAUUCAUUUUAGCCUGUAUUUAUGUAUCUAAAAGCUAUUUGCCGAAUACUGAAUCCUUUUCUAGAUCUAACAUUAAUGCCUACUUUGAAAAUAAGUAUAUGAAAUUCUCAACCAACAA